GCUUUUGGCCUGUGUUUUAUAUAAUGGUAUAUUAAACAUAUUUGUUUCCAUUUCGCUUUUGUAGCUCAGCAGGACCCACUGGAACUGUUCUGACUGAGCUUCAACUCUCUCCUUAAUGACGUUAUCCGAGUCUGUGGUGUGGACUGUGGCAUAUGUAUUCAAUGCCUCUUUUAAUGACAGACGUUUACACUAUUUCCAGUUCUUUUCUCCUAGUGCAGUGUCGCCAUAAACAACAUUGUACACGUAUCUUCACCUCCUGGGAAUUGUACUCCUGUGUGAUAUAUUCCUGGGAGUUGUCAUGGAUAGAAAGGUUUAACUGAAAGCAAGUUUCGUGGCACUGACUUAUUAAAAGUAAGAAAUGGAUCUUCUCAGUCAAUUGGAAUCAAUUCGAAUCGGUUUUUGAAGAAAUGAAAUUCCUGGGAUAUUAUCAAUGAUACACCCAGAAAGAUGUAUCCAGCGUACAUUGUCUUCAAUUUUUAUAACAUUGCUGUGAUUCCUGUCUUGUCCUAAUGAUUCAAAGAAUGAGUUUGUUCUAGCUUUAUACAAAUGAAUUCUGCGUUCCGCUCAUGAUGAAACAGAGAGCAAAAGUGAUCCGAAUGUAUUACUAAAGUACUUUAUAUCUGCAAAUUACCUUAUACUUGUUAUUCUUGGC
rnacentral:lncRNA from 1 species